GCUGACGAGUGGCGGACGGGUGAGUAAUGUCUGGGAAACUGCCUGAUGGAGGGGGAUAACUACUGGAAACGGUAGCUAAUACCGCAUAACGUCGCAAGACCAAAGAGGGGGACCUUCGGGCCUCUUGCCAUCGGAUGUGCCCAGAUGGGAUUAGCUAGUAGGUGGGGUAACGGCUCACCUAGGCGACGAUCCCUAGCUGGUCUGAGAGGAUGACCAGCCACACUGGAACUGAGACACGGUCCAGACUCCUACGGGAGGCAGCAGUGGGGAAUAUUGCACAAUGGGCGCAAGCCUGAUGCAGCCAUGCCGCGUGUAUGAAGAAGGCCUUCGGGUUGUAAAGUACUUUCAGCGGGGAGGAAGGGAGUAAAGUUAAUACCUUUGCUCAUUGACGUUACCCGCAGAAGAAGCACCGGCUAACUCCGUGCCAGCAGCCGCGGUAAUACGGAGGGUGCAAGCGUUAAUCGGAAUUACUGGGCGUAAAGCGCACGCAGGCGGUUUGUUAAGUCAGAUGUGAAAUCCCCGGGCUCAACCUGGGAACUGCAUCUGAUACUGGCAAGCUUGAGUCUCGUAGAG
rnacentral:rRNA from 1 species